rnacentral:rRNA from 1 species
GUGCCAGCCGCCGCGGUAAUACGGAGGAUCCGAGCGUUAUCCGGAUUUAUUGGGUUUAAAGGGUGCGCAGGCGGGUAUAUAAGUCAGAGGUGAAAUUCUACGGCUCAACUGUAGAACUGCCUUUGAUACUGUAUAUCUAGAGUAUAUUUGGAGUGGGCGGAAUGUAGCAUGUAGCGGUGAAAUGCUUAGAUAUGCUACAGAACACCGAUCGUGAAGACAGCUCACUAAACUAUAACUGACGCUCAGGCACGAAAGCGUGGGGAGCAAACAGGAUUAGAUACCCGCGUAGUCC